AUACGGAGGGUGCAAGCGUUAUUCGGAAUCACUGGGCGUAAAGGACGCGUAGGCGGGUUGGCAAGUCAGAUGUGAAAUCCUACAGCUUAACUGUAGAACUGCAUUUGAAACUGCUAACCUAGAGUAUGGGAGGGGGAGAUGGAAUUAGUGGUGUAGGGGGAAAAUCCGUAGAUAUCACUAGGAAUACCGAAAGCGAAGGCGAUCUCCUGGAACAUAACUGACGCUAAGGCGUGAAAGCGUGGGGAGCAAACAGGAUUAGAUACCCUAGUAGUCC
rnacentral:rRNA from 1 species